rnacentral:rRNA from 1 species
AGGCUCCCAGUAGACGACUGGGUUGAUAGGCCGGAUAUGGAAGCACGGUAACGUGUGGAGUUGACCGGUACUAAUAGGCCGAGGGCUUGUCCUCAGUUG